GAUGAAGAACGUAGCGAAAUGCGAUAAUUAAUGUGAAUUGCAGAAUUCCGUGAAUCAUCGAAUCUUUGAACGCACAUUGCGCCUUCUGGUAUUCCGGAAGGCAUGCCUGUUCGAGAGUCAUUAACAACCGUUUCGAUCCCUUUCUUUCAGAAAUUACAAAGAGGAAAAGGGUUUGGUUAUGGUGGAGGAGGGAAAGGGAGCGUUUAGCCUGUAAAAAAAGAGGCUGUGUUCCGCCUCCCCCCCAAAAUUGUACAGGCGGUCGUGUGCGCCCACGCAUCGAGGUGUUGUAAAAGCUGCCACGGCACUUUUCACCUGUGCAGUGCGAGAUUGGCCAGCCGGUUUAAAAACCCCUCCAAACAAUCAAUGGUUGACCUCGGAUCAGGUAGGGAUACCCGCUGAACUUAAGCAUAUCAAUAAGCGGAGGA
rnacentral:misc_RNA from 1 species